rnacentral:lncRNA from 1 species
GGGCAGGAAAACAUACUGCAUCCUUUGGCUGCUGCACAGUGAGACAACAAGGCAUCUUCCACCUAGGAGUGUGUGGCAAUAGUGACUAGCAUGCCGUCAUCGCUGAAAUCGCUGCUUCCGGGUGGGAAAGAUGACAAGAGGAGGACCCUAAUGCACCAGGUCUCCACACUUGGGGAGAGGGUGUCGGAGUUGGAGAACAAAAAUGCCCAGCUGCUUGACGAGAAGGGUAAAGUGGAGAAGCAAUUGGAGGAGACAAAGCAGGAAGCUCAGGUCAUCUCAAGGCAGAAAGAGGAGGUGGAGAGUAGCUUGAAGGGUCAAAAUGAAAUGCUUGGGUUGAAGGUUUUGAAUGUGGAGGAAAAAUAUAAUCAUAUGGUCGAGAAGCUCCAGAUGGAAAUAUGUGCAUUGGUGAAGGAGUCAGAGGAUCUUAAGAGGAGGUUGGAGGAAAUCCAGGCGAAGAAGGAUUUGAUGGAGAGUGAAAGGGAUAUGCUUCGGUCGGAGGCUAUGAUUACAAAGCAAAAACAGAUCAUGUUUGAAGCAGAGAUUGAGAGGCUCAAUAUGGAAUUGGUUGUAUUGACGGAGGCGAAGAAGGCUGCUGCAAAGGCAUGUGAAGCUCAAAAUGAUGAAAUCAUGAAGGAACUGGAGGAUCUUAAGAGGAAGUUUGAGGAACUGCAAACAAAUAAGGAUUUAGUGCAAGCUAAAAAUGAUGAACUUCUGUCAAAUGUUUUGGCAAUAAAGGAGAAAUAUGGCCAGUCAGAAGCAGAGGUUAAGAAGCUCCAGAUGGAAUUAAGUGCAUUGGUGAUGGAAAAAGAGGUAGCUGUUAAGACAUUUGAUGACGAGAAAGACGAAAUGAUGAUGGAAUCAGCGGAUCUUAAGAGGAGGUUGGAGGAAAUCCAGGCCAAUAAGGAUUUGGUGGAGAGUGAAAAUGAUAGGCUUCGGUCGGAAGCUCUGAUUACAAAGCAAAAACAAAUCAUGUUUGAAGCAAAGAUUGAGACACUCAAUAUGGAAUUGGUUGCAUUGACGGAGGCGAAGGAGGCUGCUGCGAAGGCAUGUGAAGCUCAAAAUGAUGAAAUCACAAAGGAACUAGAGGAUCUUAAGAGGAAGUUUGAGGAACUGCAAACAAAUAAGGAUUUAGUGGAAGGUGAAAAUGAUAAGCUUCAGUCAGAGGUUUUGGCAAUAGAGGAGAAAUAUGGCCAGUCUGAAGCAAAAGUUAAGUGGCUUAAUCAGAUAUUGAGAGUAGUGGUGGAGGCGAAGGAUGUAGCUGCAAAGGCAUGUGAAGCUGAGAAGGUAGAAAUCUUGAAGGAAUCAGGAAAUCUUAAGAGGAGGGUAGAGGAAAUUCUGGUUAACAAGGAUUUGGUUGAGAGUGAAAAUGACGUGCUUCGGUCAGAUAUUCUGACAUUGAAGCAGAAAUACAAUCAAUUUGAAGUAGAGGUUAAGAGCCUCAAGAAUGAAUUGGAAGCAUUCAAGGAGGAGAAGGAGGUUACUGCAAAGGCGUUUAAUGUUGAGAAGACAGAAAUCCUAAAGGAAUUGGAGGAUCAAAAGAUGAACGUACAGGAAAUCCAGGCCAAGAAGGAUUUGGUGGAGAGUGAAAAUAACGUGCUUCAGUUAGAUAUUGUGACAACGAAGCAGAAAUAUAAUCAAUUUGAAGUAGAGAUUAAGAGCCUGAAGAAUGAAUUGAAAGCAUUAGAGGAGGAAAAGGAGGUUACUGCAAAGGCGUUUAAUGUUGAGAAGACAGAAAUCCUAAAGGAAUUGGAGGAUCUUAAGAGGAAGGUGCAGGAAAUCCAGGCCAACAUGUAUUUAGUGGAGGGUGAAAAUGAUAAACUUCGGUUGGAUGUUUCUACUGCAGAACAGAAAGAACGCAUAUCUAAAGCAGAGGCUAAGCGUCUCUGGAAGAUAUUGGAUGCUUUGAUGGAGGCAAAGGAGGUGACUACGAAGUCAUGUGAUGCUGAGAAAGAAAAAAUCAUGAAGGAAUUGGAGGAUCUUAAGAGGAAGGUGGAGGAAAUCCAGGCUAGCAAGGAUGCCCUCAUCAGGGACAACGAGCUGCUGCACUAUGCAGUUGCUGAGGCAUAAGAGAAGAAUAAGGGUAGCAUUUUAUCAUGCCUGUCACUACACGGCUUGAAGUAAUUAUGUUGGCAAUGUGUCGCUUUACUAAUGUAAUGGUGAUCAGUUGGUACUCAACAAUAAAAUAAAACUUUCACUUCCUUUGUG